CGUCUAUAUACGUAUAGCAUAUCAAUAAGCGGAGGAAAAGAAACUAACUAGGAUUCCCUCAGUAACGGCGAGUGAAGCGGGAAGAGCUCAAAUUUGAAAUCUUCAAGGUUCUACCUUGACGAAUUGUAGUUUAAAGAAGUGUUUUCUGUUGGAGUUUUGGUAAAAGUUCUUUGGAAUAGGACAUCAUAGAGGGUGAGAAUCCCGUAUUUGACCAUUAUUUCCAGCUGUGUGAUACACUUUCAAAGAGUCGGAUUGUUUGGGAAUGCAGUCCAAAAUGGGUGGUAAAUUUCAUCUAAAGCUAAAUACUGGCGAGAGACCGAUAGCGAACAAGUACCGUGAGGGAAAGAUGAAAAGAACUUUGAAAAGAGAGUUAAACAGUACGUGAAAUUGUCAAAAGGGAAGCGUUUGACACCAGUGUUGUUUUCUCGAAAAUCAAUUAAAAAUGACCGGAUUUUGUGUUGUAUUGACUUUAUCAGCUUUCUGCACUCUUUUCUUGUCUUUUUUAAUGCACUUUUCGUUUAACAAGUCAACAGUCAAUUUCUUUUGUUGUAAAAGGGUCAUUGGAAGGUGGCUUUCUUUUCGGAGAAAGUGUUUAUAGCCUUUGGCUUCUGCAAUCGGAGAGAUUGAGGUCUGCAGCGUAGAUCCUUCGGGGUUAGAUACAUUUGUGCUAAGUUAUAGCCUUUCAUAGACAACUUGUUGACUAUGAUCAGUCAUGUAGCUUACUCGCUUAUGUUAUUUUACCUACGCUUAGGAUGUUGACGAUCAGCUGAGCGCG
rnacentral:rRNA from 1 species